rnacentral:rRNA from 1 species
GACGAACGCUGGCGGCGUGCUUAACACAUGCCAGUCGAACGGAAAGGCCCUGCUUUUGUGGGGUGCUCGAGUGGCGAACGGGUGAGUAACACGUGAGUAACCUGCCCUUGACUUUGGGAUAACUUCAGGAAACUGGGGCUAAUACCGGAUAGGAGCUCCUGCUGCAUGGUGGGGGUUGGAAAGUUUCGGCGGUUGGGGAUGGACUCGCGGCUUAUCAGCUUGUUGGUGGGGUAGUGGCUUACCAAGGCUUUGACGGGUAGCCGGCCUGAGAGGGUGACCGGCCACAUUGGGACUGAGAUACGGCCCAGACUCCUACGGGGGGCAGCAGUGGGGAAUAUUGCACAAUGGGCGGAAGCCUGAUGCAGCAACGCCGCGUGCGGGAUGACGGCCUUCGGGUUGUAAACCGCUUUCGCCUGUGACGAAGCGUGAGUGACGGUAAUGGGUAAAGAAGCACCGGCUAACUACGUG